rnacentral:rRNA from 1 species
AGUCUUUGUAGCAUUACAAGGCAUACGGCUCAGUAACACGUAGUCAAUCUACCCUAUGGACGGGGAUAACCUCGGGAAACUGAUAAUAAUACCCGAUAGAUCAUUAUACCUGGAAUGGUUUAUGGUUCAAAUGAUUUUUCGCCGUAGGAUGGGACUGCGGUCUAUCAGCUUGUUGGUGAGGUAAUGGCCCACCAAGGCUAUAACAGAUACGGGCUCUGAGAGGAGAAGCCCGAAGAUGGGUACUGAGACACGGACCCAGGCCCUAUGGGGCGCAGCAGGCGAGAAAACUUUGCAAUGUGCGAAAGCACGACAAGGUUAAUCCGAGUGUUUUCUGCUAAAGAAAUCUUUUGUUAGUUUUAAAACCACUAUCGAAUAAGGGGUGGGCAAGUUCUGGUGUCAGCCGCCGCGGUAAAACCAGCACCUCAAGUGGUCAGGAUGAUUAUUGGGCCUAAAGCAUCCGUAGCCGGCUUUGUUAGUUUUCGGUUAAAUCUAUAUGCUCAACAUAUAGGCUGCCGGGAAUACUGCAAAGCUAGGGAGUGGGAGAGGUAGACGGUACUCCGUAGGAAGGGGUAAAAUCCUUUGAUCUAUGGAUGACCACCUGUGGCGAAGGCGGUCUACCAGAACAUGUCCGACGGUGAGGGAUGAUAGCUGGGGGAGCAAACCGGAUUAGAUACCCGGGUAGUCCCAGCUGUAAACUAUGCAAACUCAGUGAUGCAUUGGCUUGUGGCCAGUGCAGUGCCGCAGGGAAGCCGUUAAGUUUGCCGCCUGGGAAGUACGUACGCAAGUAUGAAACUUAAAGGAAUUGGCGGGGGAGCACCACAAGGGGUGAAGCCUGCGGUUCAAUUGGAGUCAACGCCAGAAAUCUUACCCGGAGAGACAGCAGGAUGAAGGUCAAGCUGAAGACUUUACCAGACAAGCUGAGAAGUGGUGCAUGGCCGUCGCCAGCUCGUGCCGUGAGAUGUCCUGUUAAGUCAGGUAACGAGCGAGAUCCUUGCCUCUAGUUGCCACCAUUACUCUCAGGAGUAGUGGGGCGAAUUAGCGGGACUGCCGUAGUUAAUACGGAGGAAGGAGAGGGCCACGGCAGGUCAGUAUGCCCUGAAACUCUGGGGCCACACGCGGGCUGCAAUGGUAGUGACAAUGGGUUCCGGAUCCGAAAGGAGAGUAU